rnacentral:rRNA from 1 species
GCCGGGGGAUGCAAGCGUUAUCCGGAAUCACUGGGCGUAAAGCGUCUGUAGGUGGUGAUGCAAGUCACUGGUGCAAAACUCUGGCUCAACCGGAGGAAAGCCAGUGAAACUGCAUGACUAGAGAGUGGGAGAGGUAGAAGGAAUUCCCUGAGUAGCGGUGAAAUGCGUAGAUACAGGGAAGAACACCGGAGGCGAAAGCGUUCUACUGGAACACAACUGACACUGAGAGACGAAAGCUAGUGGAGCGAAUGGG